GGGCCGGUAGCUCAGCCUGGAAGAGCACCUGCCUUGCACGCAGGGGGUCGCGGGUUCAAAUCCCGCCCGGUCCACCA
rnacentral:tRNA from 1 species